UAUUUAUAAAAUAAAUCCCUAAAAUCUAAAACAGGGAGAAAGUAAAGUAGCCUUUUUCUCCGACCACGAGAACCCAUCGAUCGACCACGAACGCCAAUACAGGUUCCAUCUUCAUCGACCACGGGUAUUGUUCGAUGUUCCAUCUUCUCCGACCAUGGCCAUCAAUCGAGGAGCAAGCUGAGAUUUAGAUAUAUGGAUAUAUGGUCUAAAAAAUCUCAGCUGGAAUCCAAGCUUGCUCCUCGCUCGAAGACGUCAUAUAGAAGAUGCAAUUAAUCGAUGGCUGAGAUCGGAGAUAGAGAACCUCAAACGAUCGUCUUCUUUGGAGAAGAUUGAAUCUCUUGUCUUCUCCCUAGAGAGUUCGUCCCUCUCUAGUCUCCAGUGUGUUUUCUCAAUCUUGUUUCUGAGUUUUUGUUUUCAAAAGUAAUGAUAUGUUCAUUUUGUUUUCCUUUGAAUUAUUAUUAGAUUUAAUAAAAGAAAGUUUAUGUUUUUUUUUU